rnacentral:rRNA from 1 species
ACGUCCUUCUUCUACUCACGCGGCGUGCCUAAUACAUGCAAGUUAGAACGAGUUCUGUAUUAUUAGUAAAGGUAGCGUUGCAUCUUGUAUUUAAUUUUAGUAACGAGUGGCGGACGGGUGAGUAACACGUGGGUAACCUCGCCCUUAAGUGGGGGAGUAACAUUUAGGAAACAGAUGCUAAUACCGCAUAAAUACCAAAGAACCGCAUGGUUCUUGGCUGAAAGAUGGCGUAAGCUAUCGCUUUUGGAUGGACCCGCGGCGUAUUAGCUAGUUGGUGAGGUAACGGCUCACUAAGGCAAUGAUACGUAGCCGAACUGAGAGGUUGAUCGGCCACAUUGGGACUGAGACACGGCCCAAACUCCUACGGGAGGCAGCAGUAGGGAAUCUUCCACAAUGGACGCAAGUCUGAUGGAGCAACCGCCGCGUGAGUGAAGAAGGCU